AUCAUUUGUAAAUAUUCCAAGUCAGCUUUCACUCUUUAAUCAGUUUCCAUGUGUGAAUUGUGCACAUCUGGCAUUGAUGCUAAAUUUAAUUGCAGUGCCAUUAAAUCAUGUUGUUUGCUUGGCAUGGGUAUUGAUACAGCAGACUUCACUUAUUGAAGGCACGUAAAGGUGUCUUGUUUAUCGAAAGUUUAGUUCAAGUGAAGAACACAAAAUCGACAGUUUUAUUCGAAAAGCAUUCGAGUGUGUUGAUAACGCUAUAGCGGAAAAAAAAAACAAUCUAAUAUCACAGCUUUUCUUUUUUGCACAAUGUUGUGUUUGGGCACAAAUUCCUGAUAAAUCUAAGCAGCCUUCACAUUCAGAACAAUACUUUCGACUUUUAUUUCCUCCUGUUUCCUUCUGGUCCAAAAAAGAAAUGCUUGCUGAAACGGUUGUGUUUACGUAUUUGUCAUUGGAAUCGUAGUUUUUGUCACGAACUGCGCCGAUAAUAUGUUCAAGUUUCUAGGUAUCGUUCGAGGUCUUGUUCCUCGUGACGUGAACGUAGCGGUAGUGCCGGCUUUAUCUGCAGAAUCCUACCUGCUCUACAAGUAGGAUCUUCUUUUUAUUGGUGAUCAUUACUGGUCUAUCAAUUUUGUCAUGAUGGAACUGCCAUUUCAACGUCAGAAAUGUUUUAGUAUUUGCAUCGGGUAAACUUCCCGCAAUAGCCAGAUGGAAUGUGUUUCCUUUAUUAUUGAUAGUAUAUCACCGUUCCACCAAUUUGUCUUGCUUUUCUUGUUCCUUACACCACUGAGGUACGUCGUAGUUACGAUUAAAUUUCUAUCUGACUGGAUUUGUCAAAAAGACUGGUUCUAUUUGACCAAAGUUUGGCCUGUUCACAAUAAAGAUACCACCGUUCCAUUUUUGUGCCAUUUUCAUAUUAGGGAUUUUUUAUCCAAAGUUCUCAUUUGCAUCUUUCACUAGCUGUCGCGGUUUCAGAUGUACACUUGUAUUUUCUGCAGCUUUAAUGUUUGGUCGGGAAUUGGCAAACGGGAGGUAGUUUCAACAACUCAAAAACUAGGAAUGUUCGACCAAAUGAUCCUGCUAUGAUAUAUGCAAUCGUAACAUAUUUAUAGUUAUACCCGUGUUGUAUAUUGUGAGUAAUGUAUUUUUUUUUCCUGUUUGUAUUUAUUCUGGCAUAUAAGCGCUAUGUGUGUAUUUCGAACAAUUAAGGUGCGUUUGCUGGCACACGUUGAACGUUUUGUCGGAAAAUGUGACAUUUACGAGUUGCAGGUCAGUGUCGUUGGUGCUUGAAUUUUUUUUUUGUCUGCUCAACGAUUUCAUUGAUCUAAAUUUGUGAACAAGGAAUGUUGUGUUUCGUUUGCUAACAGUGUUCUUUCCUUGUUGCCUUCUGAUUUUUUUUUUCAGUUUCGUUUCGUCAUUUUCGCUUUACACCUGUGAGGAAAAACGUAGUAAUAAGUGCAUGCAGCAACCCAACAGGGGCUGUGCCAUGGGGUGAGGGGAGGGGUAGCGGAGGGUAGCCGCUCCCCCGAAUUUCGAACCAGCUUCCCCGGUGAAAAUACCUUGCUCUGCCCCGACAACGUAAUAAAGCCAAGGCUCGACUUCAUUGCCCGUUGGCUUCAUUGCGCUUCAAUUGACUAUAAGCCUUGCCUCUCGGCUCCCUCAAUUCUUUCUGCUUAGAGCAUAGAUGAAUGUGUUAAGAUACUUUACAAAGUCACUGUGUGAACGUUAAUCCUAUGAUGUUUCUAUGUUUGUUUUUUUAAGUGUUUUGUACUUCUUUCACUACAAUAACCUAUAAUGUAUCUCGUUGCUAAAGUGUGACACAGGUCUAAAUUCUCAUAGUUUUCUUGGUGUCCACAUUGCGUUAUCUGAGAUGUGGCAGCCUGUGGCAGUCACAUUUUGCUUUUGAUUGGAAAGAACACUGCGGAUUCUGUGAUCACAAUGUGUUUGUCGUAACAGGUUGUGUGAAGGUUCUAUGAAUUUUCCAGCGUGCAUGGUGUUUACAUACGUCAAUUUUUUUGCGUAGGGUUUAAAAAGACAUGGUAGGUUUUCCUUGCAGAACUUCUCAUUCAUUUUGUUGACGAAAAUACUUGCUUUAAUCUUCUUAAGCUUUCCUUUCAAAUACUGUGGGUGCUACUAAUGUCAGUCUGAUGUAGGCCUACAUUUACAGCAUAUAUUUAUUGUGGAAGAAAUGUAUGCAAAACUGUGAUAUGGAGUCUUUGCAUGCAUUCAAGUGAAAUGUAAAUCUGUUUGAAUUAUUAUACUUCUAAGUGGUCACGAGAAGGUGUCACUGAAAUCUCUUGACAUUACAGCAGGUGUAGUUAAAGGGAUACUGAACAAAAAUUGAAAAAAGUGGCGAAAACAUCAAGAUUUCACUUGGAAGACGUGACUGCUUCGAUAAACAGAGUUUAUUUCCUAUAUUUUUGAACAGGUGGCUGUAUUUUUGGUGGAUUGUCAGUGCGCGGUAGCUGCACGCGAGUGCAAUCCAUUGCUUCACAUUUACCCAGGCGCAUGCAGGGUGCACGUGUUCCUGUCCUCUCCUUCCCUUUCUCCACCUUUCAUCCCACUCUCCCCCUUCCACAAAAACGUUGAUGCUGUACCCCAGCCGGGAACAUUGUUCGCUGCCACUGCUGUUUGUAGUGGUUCUGGGAACGGUAGUGGUAUAUAGUGGGAGCUGAGCAGGUUGAGAGACGCAGGCAACGACUGGCAUUGUUGGCAUGCCCGUUUCCGGUGUAUGAAACGUCACCUUCUCUAUUUCACAGCGCGGCCGCUAGACGCGGCAGUUUGUGAAAAAUGUAUCAAAUUCCUUAUUUUCCUCUAGUUUCUGCCUGAAAUGAAGGUUGUGUCUAUCGAUUUCAGCACGUGAUCUUUCAGCUUGGCUGAAAAUCUUGGCAGCAAAAAUUUUGUUCAGCAUCCAGUGGGAAUCUCGAGGUGACCUCACCACCUGUCCUUCAUAUUUGCAUCGGCAAAUACAUCCCUUGUUUGUCAACAAGCCUCUGUUAAUGACAAGAAUGACCUAGUUGCAGCUUUAGAAGCACAGCACGACAGCCUUGGCUAACUUAGUGAGUUAUACUUCUAGGGUCUCUUUGAUAAUCUCCUUGUUUAUGACUGACCAAUGCAUUGAGCUGUCUGUUGUGGUUAACUGUCUUCUCAUAUAUGUCACAAUGGGAUGCCUCAAAGAGUGUGAUUGUGUGCAGUUAUUUUGUGUGUAAUCUCAUUCCUGCUGAAAGAUAUGUCUAGCUCAACUUUGCAAACAUAUUGUGUGCAUGCUGUUCUUGACAGCACUUGAGUGCAUUUUCGCUGAAUGCAACAACACAUUGUUGAUUCUACGAAAUGUCUUGCAACUUUUUGUACAGCUUGAAAAAUAUACAGAACAUUUAAACGUCUCGUCCUUGUCUGUUUUGUACUAUUGCGCUUGAAAGCUGCACAUUUCGUAUAAGGUAACAGAGGAUACUAGCUUGCAAAAUUGCAGAAAGUCUUCAAACUAGCUCUUAUUGAUUAGCAGCCAUAACAUGCAGCAAGGCACGUUUAUUUGAGCCAUGCCACACAAGAUAUCACUAUGUAUGUGGCUGUUCACGGCUCUGUCGCUGUAUCUAAAUGAUGCAUUAUUGUUGAAUUGUAUGCAUACCAGUUAAAAUUAUUGGCUGUGGUGAAACUGGUGGAUGUACAAGAUGCGUGUGUUUUUAUCAAAAGAACGAUUUUAAGACGUGCUAUCAAAAGAACGAUUUUAAGACAUGCUUACUGUUCAAAGACUGAUACAUAACUGAAAAAACAACUUGCAGCGGGGGACUCUAAGGAGAAGCACCUCAUAAAUUAUGUGCUAUUUGUUAACUUCUCUGAUUGUUACCGGAUUUCAUUUAAAAGGCCUUGUGUAGACAAGCUGCAGAGUAAGAUUCAAAGAAAUAUUAAAAUGAUGCCAUCACAGGUACAUACGUAGAGCACACACACACACAUUGAGUUAGGUGAACACCUAGGGCAAGUUUUGAAGAGCUACUUGGUCAAAAUUGUUGUUCGGCCAUCUGCAAAAAAACAAAACAGUAAUAUGGUAGCCCGCUUGUUGCCUACUAUGUGUGCUACCGCAGCCCUUCCUUUAUAAACAUGCACUUAUUCUCAUUUCUCAUAUUUCCAUUUCUUCCUGAUUUAGCUGCAUUAUUUGUGUUUUGAUUAAUUGUGUGUGCUUAAAAGUGCGGGAAAGAAAAAGAGAAGUCAUUAUUAAUGAUGUAAAAAUUUAUGAAUUCACUGAAAAGAAAUAGGUAUUGGUACUGUCUCAAGGGACUUUUGCGUUGCGAGCAUGCUUGGUCAGAGUGAAGCACUGAAUUUGCUAGGUUGAGGUGCGUAGCUCACGUAGUUCUUACGUGCGCUCAUAAUUGUUAUGCUUAGUGGAGGUGCGUCUAUUUUUUUAUGAUUCUUAUCAUUGUGGCAAAGAUUGUGAUCUUUCAGCUUGAUAGGACAUCGUGUGACAUUGCCGGCAGAGUGACAUUGAAGGACGGCCUUGUACAGAGAGCCCCCUUUGUGAAAGGACCAUGAAAAAAUAUGGUCAGGAGAAAAUGCAGCAGACGCAGCUAGGGAAGUGAACGAACACUGACUGUGACCUGAUAACCUUAACCUGUGCCACUGGACAUGCUGUAUAUCAGGACAUCUCGCGUGUUUUCGUAAGCGUGAUUACUUGCACUUUUCACCUGUUUCAUUUCUUAUCAUAAGAUAGGCAGCUUCUUGUGUUGCUGUCGUACAAAGGAGCAACCUUUUCUUCCUAGUUCAAGGACUGAUGUGUGUUUGCAGUAAUCAGAAACUGUAACCUACUGUAAUUGUGGUGAUGUGCUACAUUCACACUUUCGAAUCCAGAUGUCAGGUCUCAUUUUAUUGUUGGCUCACAUCGCAAAUUUCCUGCUAUAUACUGUUAAAAAAGAACCACCCAUAAACCGUUAUGGGUCGCGACAGCUGUAUUUUUAAAAGUUAAUAUUUAUAAUGUGUACUAUAGUGAUUGAAAGAAACACGAACGAUGUGGCAUCUACAUUCUCUGCUGUUUCACAUUUAUUUUCAAGCGGUUGUUGCCUAGAUAGUAAUAAAAAGCCAAUGAGUCAUCCAUGGUACAACCAAGAACCACUCUAACAUCAUUUUAUUGCCACCAAGGUCAGAGCACGAUGAGAACAGUGCACCGCACUGUUCGCAUUUCUUUCAAUCCCCCCUGUACCUUAUCAGAUAUGCAGACUCCUGCGCCUUGUUAGAAAAUAUGCACUAAAGUAUCAUGCCGCUUGGUAGCGAUAAUAAAUCUAUACCAUACUGUAUAAUAUUUUCACGGCUAAACUGUCACCAGCCAAAGUUUAAAAUAGUCCUGAGAAGUGCGACCAUGUAAACAGUUUCAGUGACACUUCCUUGAUCAACACCAAGAUAAACCUGACAAAGUGUCUUCUCCUCGAGUCAUGGCAUAAUCAAGACACUCCUGGCAACAUCAGCCACUUGUUUGGGCUGCUGUCACUGUGUAAACCCACGGCCAUUGCAGCGUGAUGGAGAGGAGGAACCAGCAGCAAAAUGAAAAAUACUCUGCUUCUUUGAACACUUCACUCAUCGCCUGAGAAAGGGACCGAACUGGUCCAAAAACGACAGGGCAACCUUAAAUUUUGGCUGGCGUCAGUGUCGCCUGAAGAAUCUUCUAUCCAGCCAGACAUAUUUUUGUCAAGAAUGUUCACAUUUACUAUUUCAUAUGUAUACCACUUGUCUGCCGUAUGUUAAGCAUAGUGUGUGUAACAUAUCUGUGGCCGCAUGCAAGUUGUGGCCAUUUGUGAUGUUUGGCAAUGCGAAAUCUGCCCACUUUGUGAAGAGUGUAUGAACUAAUGUUGACAUUACUGCAGCUAAUUAUUCGCUAUGCAGUAGAACUCUCGUGGCAUCUCUGACACUCCUGACAUUUGUCAGCCAAACAGUUCUCUUUUUUUUUCUUUUUCUUUAAGAAUGGCUGCCUUGUAGCAUAGUAAGAAAAUAAAAAACUUGUUCUUGCACUGAAGUACAUACCAGUAGAAGUUUCAUCUCGCACUUUGAAGUUCAGUAAGGCUGAAAGUCCUAUUUUUUUUAAACACAAACACACAGCAUGUGCUUUAUUUUUAAGCAUGUAAGAAGCAUUGCUUGCUGGUCGUUUCUUGGCAAUUUAUCAGUGUUACCAUCAACAAUGUGUUAUAUUAAUGUUCUAUUAAUUUUCUAUUAAUGUUCUGUUAAUUUUACCAUCAAUAUUGUGUUCUACAGUGAAAUGGCAACAGUCAUCAUUUAAAUACCUUAUCAUUGCCAGGCUGGCAGGCAAUGCUGUAUAACCCAGUUGUAUUGUUAGCUUUCAGGAGCACUUUUGUAGGCUGAAGAUGCUUGACUUCUGCAAUUUGUAAUUCUGUCCGAAUAAACUGUUUUCAGCGAUAAAGACCAAAAGCUUGCUGCCGUUUGUUUUUGUACAGGCAUUAGUACUAUACAUUUCUCAUACACGGUUGGCACAAGCAUCUCACGUUUUAAAUGAGGAGACGGCUGGACACUUUCAGAACAGUACACAUGCAUGUGUGUUAUGUGGUACACACUGACUUCCAGUGUAUUUACAUUGAAAGCACGAACAGGGACCAAGUAGUUUAAUUACUGUAGAUAUGCGAGCCUAGGCUGACCUCAAUUCUAGGCUAACCUCCAGAUUUGGAAAGUCUCGAAACAUUAAAAAAGCUUUCUUUAAAUGCAAGUUGACCAUGACAAUAGUAAAAUGACCGCAGGCUCUAAAAAGCGAAUGAUGUUUGUUGCCUAUUUCCAACUCCAGUAGUAACUACACCACUUGCUCGUAUCCAGCAUCUCACCAGAAGUGAACUUUGAAGGACCAAUACUGUGCCUGCUCUGUAUGUAUUUGUCGUAGUUAAAAUAGUGUACCUGUAGAGUAUUCUCUAGUAUUGUGUGGUGGUAAUUUGAGUGGUGGUUGCCCUGUCUCAGCAGGGCAGCCAUUACAAACCAUUGUGGCAGGUCCGAUCGCACUUUAGCACAUUAGUGAAUCUAUGAGCAGUUAAUUAGUCUAAAAUUUGGAGAAGGCAGUUAUGAAGAUUUUCAGUGUAACAUGACGUGUCCACUGAACCAAGAUGCAGGUGCAAGAAAACUUCAUGCAAAAUAAACAUUGUAACACAUUUAAUGGCAUAUUAAAUAAAUGUUUUGGCUGCUUGA